rnacentral:rRNA from 1 species
GUGCCAGCCGCCGCGGUAAUACGUAGGGCGCAAGCGUUGUCCGGAAUUAUUGGGCGUAAAGAGCUCGUAGGCGGUUUGUCGCGUCUGUCGUGAAAGCCCACGGCUUAACCGUGGGUCUGCGGUGGAUACGGGCAGACUAGAGGCAGGUAGGGGAGAAUGGAAUUCCCGGUGUAGCGGUGAAAUGCGCAGAUAUCGGGAGGAACACCGGUGGCGAAGGCGGUUCUCUGGGCCUGUACUGACGCUGAGGAGCGAAAGCGUGGGGAGCGAACAGGAUUAGAUACCCCCGUAGUCC